UACGGAGGGUGCAAGCGUUGUUCGGAAUUACUGGGCGUAAAGCGCACGUAGGCGGAUUGUUAAGUCGGGGGUGAAAUCCUGGAGCUCAACUCCAGAACUGCCUUCGAUACUGGCGAUCUCGAGUUCGGGAGAGGUGAGUGGAACUGCGAGUGUAGAGGUGAAAUUCGUAGAUAUUCGCAAGAACACCAGUGGCGAAGGCGGCUCACUGGCCCGAUACUGACGCUGAGGUGCGAAAGCGUGGGGAGCAAACAGG
rnacentral:rRNA from 1 species